GCAGCAUACAGUAGCUGAUAUGAAGCCCCAGACACAAUAGAGCAGAGAACUGCCUCGUAUGGCCUCAGUGGGAGAUGUGCCUAGACUUCAAGGGACUUGAUACCCCAAGGAGGAGUAAAAGAAGCAUAUGCCAAUCCCAAAGCCACAGAUCAAGACGACCAGUGCUGUAAGCAUAAUGGUCACAAGCAGCCUGGUCACAGGUGUCUGCUGUGAACCACAGAAGACCCUGAACAGCAGGGCUUGAUUGGAUCUAGAAAGAACCACAAAUAAAACAAGUAACCAUACAACUAUGAUGAGAGCAAGUUUCCAACACAUAUCCCAGUUAUAAAUAUAAUCCAGCACUUUACAAAUUAUCCAAUUCCAAAGGGUCAACAGAAGGGAAAAAACCCAGAGCAGAGUACAAAUGACAGUUGAUGUGUGUUUUGGGCGUUGGGCAUGAUACCAAGUGGGCCAAAGGACAGACAACCAGUACUCCACACUAAUGGCUGUGAUCAUGCUCAC
rnacentral:lncRNA from 1 species